GCCAGGACUCAACCGCUUCUCACUGCCUCCACUCUACCACCUACUCCGAGCCCGGAUAAGUCUCUUCGCUGGCCUUCCUGCUCCCACCCUUGCCUCCCUUCCCUCUACUCUCAACGGAGCAAGCCCAGGGAAAGAAAGAGAGCAAGCAGGACUCGGGGGGAGCAGCAGAGAGAGAAGCAGACUCCCUGCCAAGCAGGGAGCCCGACGUGGGGCUCCAUCCCAGGACCUGGAGCCCACGACCCUCGCUGAAGCCAGAGCCCUCAGCCGACUGAGCCACCCAGAACACCUGCUGCCCCGUCCCUUUGGCCUCAUCCAUUAUGCAGCGUGCUGGCAGGACCCACGGCGGCGACAGACCUGCCGAAAGACAAAGGGGCAGACCCGGCCCCUCAGACAGCGGACCGCGAACGGCACACGCUUCCUUGCCCCGCUCCGGGACACCGGCAGGUACCUCCAAAACCCAUUCACCGGAGCUUAGUGGGUUGGCAUUAUAUGGCCCUGGGUGAGGUGAAAAUGCCCGGAAAACACUGGCUCUUCACAUCGCGUCUUUGGGGGCGUCUGGUACUAGUUCGUGGGGACCAGCCUUCACAUCCUGCCCGAGAGAGGAAUCGUUGGAGAAGCACCUCCGGGGCCCCGCAGAACCCUCGCUCCGCAGGAUACAAGCCAUAUGAUGUGGAAAGAAGGCUCCACGGUCAAGUAACUUUGGGGAAUGCUGUUUUUAAAAAACGUAUGGGGUUUUUUUGUUGUUGUUUUUCCGACUUUGAGCUUCUCAGAACUCAUAACUGGCCAGGGUGCACAGACAUCCUCCAGCGGGUGAUGACAUAGCACUUCCCCAACCAUCUGACCGAGACCUCUUUUGGAGAAAAGUCCCUGGUGGGUGGAACCAGAGGAAACUCUUCACCAUACUGCGUCACCUAGUCGCCAGGUUUUUAAAAAAUGUGAAUAAGCUGCCAAAUUUAAAAAUCAGAAGUGCUAGUGUUUAAACAAUCAAGGGUUUUUUAUUGCUUCUCUUGAAAGAAGGAAAAAAAUAAAAAGAGGUGGACUCAUGGAGCAUGUCAUGCCCACAGACUUGCUUUCUCUGUGCAAAAGCUUUUAAGCCAUAAAAUAAUUUUAAAAAAAAAAUCAAACUGGGUGAACUUAAGGAAAGAAACAUGACAAGCGCACUUGCGUAUGAAGGUUUGGAGAAGCGAAACAAGGCCAGUGAGAAGGGGAUGUUAAAGAGGUCUUCCGAAAAGUGGGGAUGAGCUUAGAUGGGCAGGGGGAAAGGAAGCUCCCGGAACACAAGCACAGGGCUGGACUCAGUAAGUCAUAAAGAUAGAUCACAGGCUGCUUCAAAAUAGAGAUACAAAACACACACACACGUUUAAUUUAAAUUUGCAAUUUAACCGGGGAACUCAGCAGUCAGGAAUUUUAAUAAUCAAGUAGCUUGGAGCCAUGCAUGGGGUCAAAUCAAGCCAUUUGGCCAUUAAAUCCAGUCUCUGAGAGGAUAAACACUAGAUAUUUCUUAGAUAUCCGACUAAGUAAUUCCCCCAAACAAUUUCCAUUGAAUGCCAGGUGCAAAAGCAAUCACCUCAGAAUCCUCUCCAGGUCCACCGACCUGGGAUAGCAGGGCUUCCAAGAACCAGUGAACCAGUUCGAAAAUGAUUCUGGAACUUCAGAGAUCCUAUUACCAAGAAGCAGAAAUAGAUUUUCAAGUGCUCGCUUUGAACUAUUAAGCACUG